CCGGUCCAGAGGGGAGGGGUAGCAGGGUUGUGCUGAGUUCACGCAUGUGAGCGGGUCUCGUGUCGGGAGAUAGGCCACCUCCCCCAGACCUCCGCUCCGUUGUAGGCCGCAUGGUCGGUAUAGGUCGUUUCGCCACGCAUCGGUGCCGGACCGGUACCGUUCUGUUACUCAUGGUAUCGUGAGUGGAUCCCUGGUCACCGUGAGUUGCUAGCGUUUAAGGAUCGCUAUGUGGUAGCUUGUUUAUGCUCUGUAUUGCAGGAGCUCUUAGAGUGUGCGACCAGCAAUGUUGGCUGCCAGGCCCCGCCCCCCAUGUAAUAGUAUCUUAUCCGUCCCGUCAUCUAUAGCGUAAUGGAUCUCGAGUGUGCCAUCUGAGUGGUGAGGUCCACUGCAUUGUAGUGUGUUGUGUUGUGAUUUAUUCUGUUCUGUCCGUCUUCUAGAGCAAUCAUAUGAGUUUUUUCACUGUAUUGUGGUGUGUAUGCCAACUUGCCCACCUUUUAGUGUAUGUCUCUGCUUGGCCACCUAGUCUGUAUGCCAUACCUUCAUAUUCUGAGACAUUUUCGAUUCUAUUCCAUACUUCUUGGGGUGAGGGGGUGUGUGUGGUUUUCCAGUGGCUGGCUAUACAGGUCUUUGUUGCUGUUAGUAGGUGUAUGAUAACCUGUCUGUUGUUGUCUAGCAGCAGUUCUAGGGAGAGGUGUAGUAAGUAGCAGUCUGGUGUGAACGGUAUUUUGCGUAUCGUUAAAAUUUCCAUAGCUUUUCCUAUCGUUCUCCAAAGCUUGCUCAGUAGUGGGCAAUCCCAAAAUAUGUGUCUCAUGCUUCCUUUGUGGAGAGUGCAUCUCCAACAUACAUUUGAGGCUGAGGGGUACAUGUUCGCUAUCUUGGUAGGUACUAGGUACCAC